rnacentral:tRNA from 1 species
GUUAUUGUAGCUUAUUUAUUAAAGCACGGCACUGAAAAUGCCGCGAUGGGGCAUAUUAUUACCCCCAAAAACA